rnacentral:rRNA from 1 species
AUGAACGCUGGCGGCGUGCCUCAUACAUGCAAGUCGAGCGAACAGACGAGGAGCUUGCUCCUUUGACGUUAGCGGCGGACGGGUGAGUAACACGUAGGUAACCUACCUAUAAGACUGGGAUAACUUCGGGAAACCGGAGCUAAUACCGGAUAAUAUUUCGAACCGCAUGGUUCGAUAGUGAAAGAUGGCUUUGCUAUCACUUAUAGAUGGACCUGCGCCGUAUUAGCUAGUUGGUAAGGUAACGGCUUACCAAGGCAACGAUACGUAGCCGACCUGAGAGGGUGAUCGGCCACACUGGAACUGAGACACGGUCCAGACUCCUACGGGAGGCAGCAGUAGGGAAUCUUCCGCAAUGGGCGAAAGCCUGACGGAGCAACGCCGCGUGAGUGAUGAAGGUCUUCGGAUCGUAAAACUCUGUUAUUAGGGAAGAACAAACGUGUAAGUAACUGUGCACGUCUUGACGGUACCUAAUCAGAAAGCCACGGCUAACUACGUG